UCCUGCAUAUUGUCAAGCUGAGCCCCAGCAAAGCUCUGCUACGUCAGCUGCUGGACCUUGUGUGUGAGGGGAUUGAAGAGGGGGUGCUGAGGCACGCAGAGUCCCUGUGCAGAGCCCUGGAUGGAGAGCUGGACCUCAGUGAGACCAGGCUGGACCAGAAGGCCUGUGGAUCUCUGGCCCUGGUUCUGGAACACUCAGAGGGGCUGUCAGAACUGGACCUCAGCCACUGUCAACUCACAGACCACCACCUACAGCCCCUGAUCACACACCUGCACAAAGUACAAGUCCUGGACCUGAGUCACAAUGACAUCACUGAUGCUCUGACUGACAAAAUACUCCAACUGGUCUCCACCAACACUUCAAUACACACCGUACGACUCUUCAACAACAGAAUCCAGGACAGAAGACCCUUCCUGACAGACAAGAGGUUUGAGAUCUGGUGAAGAUAAUGUUGUAUAAUGACAGUAUAAUGUGGUCAAUGUAGAAGGCUGGUUUGAGAUCUGGUGAAGAUAAUGUUGUAUAAUGACAGUAUAAUGUGGUCAAUGUAUAUAGAAGGCUGGUUCAAAAUCACACUGAUUGAUCUGAGUCCAGAAGAAUAGUCUUAGGGACAGGAAUGUAUCAUCUGGUGGACAGACGUCUUACAUGUGUUGUCACUCAGGUCCUUAAAAACACAGGAACAUGUGUAUUAUAACUGUAGGAUAGGAAUAUGUAGUUUUAUUUACCACUAACAGUUUGUGUGUAAAUACUUUAAAUAUUCAUACAUUAUUUUAUAUCUAAUUUUUUGAAGAAAUGAAUGGUAUACCUUGUUUUAUUAAUGUGUUUUAAGCUUUAUGCAAAUCUUACUUGAUGCGUCUUGUGAUCAGUCAAUUUGUGACAUUCCUUCAGAAGGAUCUUAAUAGUGUAGUUUUUAUCAGAUUGCUGUGAAUGUGUUCUACUGUUGCAGUGUGAUACUAAUACAUGAGUUUCUGUUGCUGUCUAAGUUGUAGGUCAACUACAUGGUACUGUAAUACUGUUAGACAGACAUACAGUAGGUCAACUACAUGGUACUGUAA